UACGAAGGGGGCUAGCGUUGCUCGGAAUCACUGGGCGUAAAGCGCACGUAGGCGGAUUGUUAAGUCAGGGGUGAAAUCCUGGAGCUCAACUCCAGAACUGCCUUUGAUACUGAGGAUCUUGAGUUCGGGAGAGGUGAGUGGAACUGCGAGUGUAGAGGUGAAAUUCGUAGAUAUUCGGAAGAACACCAGUGGCGAAGGCGGCUCACUGGCCCGGUACUGACGCUGAAAUACGAAAGCGUGGGGAGCAAACAGG
rnacentral:rRNA from 1 species